AGAGGGGGGCAAAGACAGCCUGUUUAGUUGCUUAGGAUCAGGAUGGAAUAAGGAUGGCAGAAUAUCAUGGUGAACAGAUGGGGGUCAACGUUCAGAGGGUAAUCUGGCCAGAAGAAGGAAGUUAAAGGUACAGACCAGCGUCUCAACACGGUUGCUUGAGAUUCCUGAUAGCAUGGUGGCUAGAUCCCAAAAAGGAGUGCUCCAAGAAGUAAAGAAGAUGAUUCACCUCAGACCAGCCUGGGCAACACGAUUCACCAUUACCUUUGGGGGCAUGUUUAAAAGAGAUGCUUUCAUGUCCAAGUCUGGAAAUCCCAGCAUCUGUCCUGUCUUCAGGUUUCAUUUGUAAUUCUCUUUCUGGUUUCAUAGAGUGAAAGAUACAUUCUAUGAAUGUAAGAAGCAUGGUAAACAAAUGGCAUCAGACAAUACUUACUGUUCUUCAGAGAAAUGCUUCAGGAUCUUAAUCCCACUUGUUUAAAAUUUCCAUUGAAGGUUCUCUUUCUGUCUGUGGCUGACCUGGGUGCAAAUGUUUUGUUACCCAUUGAGGGAAACUGCUCAACUUUUAUUUUUCAGUUGGAAUUGUGUAAGUUGGACUAG
rnacentral:lncRNA from 1 species